GUGCAGUGCCAACACAUCAUUCUGAAGAAGAGUGUGCAGUGACUUCCUGUGACUGAGCACA
ensembl:snoRNA SNORD63 Small nucleolar RNA SNORD63